AUUGAACGCUGGCGGCAUGCCUUACACAUGCAAGUCGAACGGUAACGGGCCUUCGGGUGCCGACGAGUGGCGAACGGGUGAGUAAUGUAUCGGAACGUACCUUUCAGUGGAGGAUAACGUAGCGAAAGUUACGCUAAUACCGCAUAUUCUGUGAGCAGGAAAGCAGGGGAUCGCAAGACCUUGCGCUGAUUGAGCGGCCGAUAUCAGAUUAGCUAGUUGGUGAGGUAAGGGCUCACCAAGGCGACGAGCUGUAGCGGGUCUGAGAGGAUGAUCCGCCACACUGGAACUGAGACACGGUCCAGACGCCUACGGGAGUCAGCAGUGGGGAAGUUUGGACAAUGGGGGCGACCCUGAUCCAGCCAUGCCGCGUGAGUGAAGAAGGCCUUCGGGUUGUAAACUGCUUUUGUCAGGGAAGAAAUCUUCUGGGCUAAUACCCCGGGAGGAUGACGGUACCUGAAGAAUAAGCACCGGCUAACUACGUGCCAGCAGCCGCAGUAAGAC
rnacentral:rRNA from 1 species